CAGGAUUUCAAUCUUGGGUAUUCCUACUUCCGCAAAGUCAAAUUUAUAGACUUAAAAUAAAGCCAAUCAUACUGCGAGUCAGCAACUUUAAACUAAUAUUUACUUUCUAGAAUAUAGACUUCUAAUUGAAAUGCUAGUUUUUUUUACAUGUUUUGAGCUCAAAUGUACGAAAAUAAUAUAUAUUAUAACGUUAUACAUUUAUAUAUAAAUAUAUAUAUAUAUUUACAUAAAAAUAUACCAAAAUAGUUAGAUCCGCUCAUGAGUAGUAGGCGGCCGGCUUGAGCACGGGGAAGCGGUCGUCGUCGACGCAGAACCCCAUGUUCCUAAGCGUUUCCUUGUGGAGCCUGUUACAGCCCGUGUGGGUGUAGUAGACGCAUAUAGGAGUCGGGUAGGUCGGCAACAGUUUGUUGUCGGCCAGCGUCCCGGGGGUGUCGUAGUAGAAGCUUUUGCAAUUGAAGUCGAUCCUCUGCAGGAUGGGUGGGACGCCGGUCAUCUCCUCCAACCGGGCCAUGACGCUGUAAACUGUGUCGUCGGAAUCCACCUCCAGCGUGUUCCACACAUUCUCCUUCUUCCCUCGGGCUCGGGAUAUCAUGUCCCCCAGCAUGAUCAACGUCUACAUCACGAUCGAGUUGGUCCCUCGCUCGAUCGCCUUCUUCUGGAUCUAACUAGUAGUAACUCGAUCGCGUGUCGCGCUCUCCACCGAGAUCUCGACGAGAUUGGUGGUUGUCAAGAUUUUUAUCGAGGUUUCUUCGGGUGGAUUUAUAUAGGAGGGGAGGGGACUAUUAUGGAUCGUCCCUCGCCCAGCUCCGUACGUGCCGUUUUUUUUUUUUUGGAUAUUUGAUAACUUACUUGCUGGGUUGAGACGGGGGAAUCUUUAGGGCUUGUUCGGUUCUUUAGGAAUGCAUUUAGGAAUUGUUCUAACUAAUCAAAGCUUAUACAAAUUAGCCAAGCAAUUCGGGUAGGAAUCGUUCCGAGGAGUGAUUCCAACCGAACGAGCCCGUACUUAGUGGAUAUCCAAACAGGACUAGCUAGGGUUGUUGUACCAAUGUGGCAU
rnacentral:lncRNA from 1 species